GAUGAACGCUGGCGGCGUGCCUAAUACAUGCAAGUCGAGCGAACAGACGAGGAGCUUGCUCCUCUGACGUUAGCGGCGGACGGGUGAGUAACACGUGGAUAACCUACCUAUAAGACUGGGAUAACUUCGGGAAACCGGAGCUAAUACCGGAUAAUAUAUUGAACCGCAUGGUUCAAUAGUGAAAGACGGUUUUGCUGUCACUUAUAGAUGGAUCCGCGCCGCAUUAGCUAGUUGGUAAGGUAACGGCUUACCAAGGCAACGAUGCGUAGCCGAACUGAGAGGGUGAUCGUCCACACUGGAACUGAGACACGGUCCAGACUCCUACGGGAGGCAGCAGUAGGGAAUCUUCCGCAAUGGGCGAAAGCCUGACGGAGCAACGCCGCGUGAGUGAUGAAGGUCUUCGGAUCGUAAAACUCUGUUAUUAGGGAAGAACAAAUGUGUAAGUAACUAUGCACGUCUUGACGGUACCUAAUCAGAAAGCCACGGCUAACUACGUGCCAGCAGCCGCGGUAAUAC
rnacentral:rRNA from 1 species